UCUGUGCAUGGUGACCCAUGCCUGUAGGUCCUGCUUCUGGGGAGGUUGAGGCUGGUUGGAUUGGGGAACUCUGAAUGACAGUAGAUUAAGCCAAUCAGAUCCAUACUAAGUCUGGCACCAAUAUGGCGAGCUCCUGGGAAUGGGGGGAGCUACCAGGCUGCUUAAGGAGGAAACGAAUCGGCCAAGGUCAGAAAUGGAGUAGGUCAAAGCUUCUGGGACAAUCAGCAGUGUGAUUGGGCCCACGAGUAGCCAUUAUGCUUCCAGACUUA
rnacentral:sRNA from 1 species